rnacentral:rRNA from 1 species
GAUGAACGCUAGCGGCAGGCCUAACACAUGCAAGUCGAGGGAGAAGCCCUUUCGGGGGCAGAAACCGGCGCACGGGUGCGUAACGCGUAUGCAACCUACCUUUCACAGGGGGAUAGCCCGCAGAAAUUUGGAUUAAUACCCCAUAAUAUUAUUGGAUGGCAUCAUUUGAUAAUUAAAACUGCGGUGGUGAAAGAUGGGCAUGCGUCCUAUUAGCUAGUUGGAGUGGUAACGGCACCCCAAGGCUACGAUAGGUAGGGGUCCUGAGAGGGAGAUCCCCCACACUGGUACUGAGACAGGGACCAGACUCCUACGGGAGGCAGCAGUGAGGAAUAUUGGUCAAUGGUCGGAAGACUGAACCAGCCAUGCCGCGUGCAGGAAGAAUGCCGUAUGAGUGGUAAACUGCUUUUAUAUGGGAAGAAUAAGGUGUACGUGUACAUUGAUGACGGUACCAUAUGAAUAAGCAUCGGCUAACCCCGUG